AAAUUGAAGAGUUUGAUCAUGGCUCAGAUUGAACGCUGGCGGCAGGCCUAACACAUGCAAGUCGAACGGUAACAGGAAGCAGCUUGCUGCUUCGCUGACGAGUGGCGGACGGGUGAGUAAUGUCUGGGAAACUGCCUGAUGGAGGGGGAUAACUACUGGAAACGGUGGCUAAUACCGCAUAACGUCGCAAGACCAAAGAGGGGGACCUUCG
rnacentral:rRNA from 5 species